ensembl:ncRNA lncRNA:CR45983 long non-coding RNA:CR45983
AAGGUUUUAAUGUCAAAAAUUCACAACGCAGGCACACACUCACACAUUCAUACAUGCGGACCAGGGCACUAGCUUGGCCAAUAAAUUCUGUCUCAAUCAAUAUGGCAGAAACGGGCGGAGCUGCAGCAUUCACACGUAUCCGCCAGAUACUCGAACACACGCUUGCCAGCUCACCAGUUCAUUCCCAGCAUUUCCACCAUUUGCUGCCGGCGUUAGAUAAAUUCUUCCUGCAAUUCAAUGCGUACACAAACUGACAGAAUCCAACUGGCUUUCCUAUGGCCACAAUCCCUACGUGCACUGGAAAGAAUAUGUCAUUACCUUAUGACUUACAGAAAGAAAACAGCCCACUAUAAAUAAAUCG